rnacentral:rRNA from 1 species
GUAAGGGCGGACGGGGGAUCCCUUGGCAGUCGAGGGCGAUGAAGGGCGCGGCCAGCUGCGAUAAGCCCCGGGGAGUCGCUGAGCAGGCUAUGAUCCGAGGAUGCCCGAAUGGGGAAACCCACUGGACCGUUGAGGCCCAGUAUCCAGAGCCGAAACACCCAAGUAGGCUCUGGAGGCAAACCCCGUGAAGUGAAACAUCUCAGUAGCGGGAGGAAAAGAAAUCAACCGAGAUUCCCCUAGUAGCGGCGAGCGAACGGGGAACAGCCCAAACCACGUGGGUGUAAGGCCACAGCCGUUGCCCAGGUGGGGUUGAGGGAUGAUCAUGGAGGCCCCUGUGGGGGCCUCGGGGAGUUACCAAAGCUUUUUCUAGCCGAACAGCCAGCAAAGCCACUGGAAAGGGCGACCGGAGAGGGCGACAGUCCCGUAGGCGAAAGGGGGAGCUCUUCCUGGUGAUCAUCCCGAGUAGUGUCGGACACGUGAAAUCCGGCGCGAAGCUGGGGGGACCACCCUCCAAGGCUAAAUACCAACGACUGACCGAUAGUGCACCAGUACCACGAGGGAAAGGUGAAAAGGACCCCGGGAGGGGAGUGAAAUAGAACGUGAAACCGUCCGCCUACAGUGCAGUGGGAGCCCGCACCCGGUUCCGCAAGGGGCCAGGGACGGGUGACCGCGUGCCUUUUGCAGUAUGAGCCGGCGAGUUGCGCUUCGUGGCGAGGUUAAGCCCCUCUGGGGCGGAGCCGUAGCGAAAGCGAGUCCGAAUAGGGCGUCCAGUCACGGGGCGCAGACCCGAAGCCAGGUGAUCUACCCAUGAGCAGGAUGAAGUGCGCUUGACCGCGCACGGAGGUCCGAACCCGUAGGUCGUGCAACGCCUUGGGAUGACUUGUGGGUAGGGGUGAAAAGCCAAUCGCACUUGGUGAUAUCUGGUUCUCCCCGAAAUGGCUCUAGGGUCAGCCUCACGCUCGAGGCGGCCGGGGGUAGAGUGCUGGCUGGGGAAGGGGGGCAACCUCUGACCUCAUUCAAACUCCGAAUACCGGUUCGCCGCUCCGUGGGAGUGAGACGGCGGGGGAUAACCUCCGUUGUCGAGAGCGAAACAACGCAGACCACCAGCUAAGGCCCCCAAAUCCAGGCUAAGUGAGCAAGGCGGUGUGACCGCCUAAACAGCUGGGAGGUUGGCUUAGAAGCAGCCAUCCUUUAAAGAGUGCGUAAUAGCUCACCAGUCUAGCGACCGCGCGCCGAAGAUGUAGCGGGACUAAGCCUGGUGCCGAAGCUGUGGGUGGGGUCCGCAAGGGCCCCGCGGUAGGGGAGCAUUCCGCUGUAGGUCGAAGCUGGGCCGCGAGACCCGGUGGACGACGCGGAAGAGAGAAUGCCGGCUUGAGUAGCGAGAGAUGGGUGAGAAUCCCAUCCACCGAAUGCCCAAGGUUUCCUGGGGAAGGCUUAUCCACCCAGGGUUAGGCGGGCCUUAGCCAAAGCUGAAAAGCGUAGGUGAUGGACAGCCGGUCAACAUUCCGGCCCCUCCAGAUCAGCGUUACGAGCGAAGGGGGGACGCCGCAGGAGGACCUCCGCAGGUUCACGGUUACACCUGCCCAAGCGCCAAGCCAGGGGAGGCAGGCAAAUCCACCUCCCCGAGACCGUCCUGUCUCGCCUCCGGGCGAGGCGGGACGAACAGGCGAGGCGUGAUGGCGAGCCCCGUAAGGGGCGAAGGGAGGGCCCUUCAGCGGCCGAGAAAAGCCUCUAGCCAGCUGAUCUGGAGUCCGUACCGCAAACCGACACUGGUGGGCGAGGAGAGUAUCCACAGGUGGGCGAGCUAACCCUUGUCAAGGAACUCGGCAAAAUCGCCCCGUAACUUCGGGACAAGGGGCGCCUCUUGGGUUGCCGGAAGGUGGCCUGGGGGGCCGCAGAGAAACGGCUCAAGCGACUGUUUACCAAAAACACAGGUCCCUGCUAACCCGAAAGGGGAUGUAUAGGGGCUGAAACCUGGCCACUGCCGGUAGGUCAAGGAGAGGGGUGCAAGCUCUGAACUGAAGCCCCGGUGAAGGCCGGCCGUAACUAUAACGGUCCUAAGGUAGCGAAAUUCCUUGUCGGGUAAGUUCCGACGCGCAUGAAAGGUACAACGACUUGAGCGCUGUCUUGACGAGGGGCUCGGUGAACUCGAAGCACGGGUGAAGAUUCCCGUGACCCGCGGUGGGACAGGAAGACCCCGUGGAGCUUCACUGUAGCUUGGCGUUGGGUCUCGGCAUCUGCUGUAGAGGAUAGGUGGGAGGCUGUGAAGCCUGGGCGCUAGCUCAGGUGGAGCCGACCUUGGAAUACCACCCUGCAGCUGUUGAGGCCCUAACCGCAGGCCGUUAGCAGCGGCCGCGGGACCGCGCUAGGCGGGCAGUUUUGCUGGGGCGGCAGCCUCCUAAAGAGUAACGGAGGCGCACAAAGGUCCCCUCAGGCUGGUUAGCGAUCAGCCGGUGAGUGCAAGGGCAGAAGGGGGCUUGACUGCGAGGCCUACAAGCCGAGCAGAGGCGAAAGCCGGUCCUAGUGACCCGCUGGCUUCCUCGUGGGAGGGCCAGCGAUCAUCGGACAAAAGUUACCCCGGGGAUAACAGGCUAGUACCGCCCGAGAGUUCACAUCGACGGCGGUGUUCGGCACCUCGAUGUCGGCUCACCCCAUCCUGGGGCUGUAUCAGGUCCCAAGGGUCGGUCUGUUCGCCCGUUAAAGGGGUUCAUGAGCUGGGUUCAAACCGUCGUGAGACAGGUUGGUCCCUAUCUACCGUGGGCGUAGGAGGCUUGAGGGGGUCCGCUCUCAGUACGAGAGGACCGGAGCGGCUGGGCCGCUGGCGAACCAGUUGCCUCACCCGGGGCAUGGCUGGGUAACUAAGCCCGGACCGGAUAAGAGCUGAAGGCAUCUAAGCUCGAAGCUGACCCCAAGAUGAGGCCUCCCCAUGUAAGGGCCCUUCGAGACUAGGAGGUUGAUAGGCCGCAGGUGGAAGCCCGGCAACGGGUGGAGCCGAGCGGUACUAAUCGCCCGAUCGUCUUACGU